rnacentral:tRNA from 1 species
GCCGGAGUAGCUCAGCCAGGCAGAGCAGCCGCCUCGUAAGCGGCAGGUCAUGGGUUCGAAUCCCAUCUCCGGCUCGA